rnacentral:rRNA from 1 species
AUUGAACGCUGGCGGCAGGCUUAACACAUGCAAGUCGAGCGGUAACAUUUCUAGCUUGCUAGAAGAUGACGAGCGGCGGACGGGUGAGUAAUACUUAGGAAUCUACCUAGUAGUGGGGGAUAGCUCGGGGAAGCUCGAAUUAAUACCGCAUACGACCUAUGGGAGAAAGGGGGCAACUUGUUGCUCUCGCUAUUAGAUGAGCCUAAGUCGGAUUAGCUAGAUGGUGGGGUAAAGGCCUACCAUGGCGACGAUCUGUAGCUGGUCUGAGAGGAUGAUCAGCCACACCGGGACUGAGACACGGCCCGGACUCCUACGGGAGGCAGCAGUGGGGAAUAUUGGACAAUGGGGGAAACCCUGAUCCAGCCAUGCCGCGUGUGUGAAGAAGGCCUUUUGGUUGUAAAGCACUUUAAGCAGUGAAGAAGACUCUUCGGUUAAUACCCGGAGACGAUGACAUUAGCUGCAGAAUAAGCACCGGCUAACUCUGUGCCAGCAGCCGCGGUAAUACAGAGGGUGCAAGCGUUAAUCGGAAUUACUGGGCGUAAAGCGAGCGUAGGUGGCUUGAUAAGUCAGAUGUGAAAUCCCCGGGCUUAACCUGGGAACUGCAUCUGAUACUGUUAGGCUAGAGUAGGUGAGAGGAAGGUAGAAUUCCAGGUGUAGCGGUGAAAUGCGUAGAGAUCUGGAGGAAUACCGAUGGCGAAGGCAGCCUUCUGGCAUCAUACUGACACUGAGGCUCGAAAGCGUGGGUAGCAAACAGG